rnacentral:rRNA from 1 species
AGAGUUUGAUCCUGGCUCAGAACGAACGCUGGCGGCGUGCCUAACACAUGCAAGUCGAACGGAGUUAGUUGGUAGCACUGAGCUAUCAGCCUUCAGCAAUCAGCAGAGAAGGACUUUGGUCUUUUAUGCUUAAAGCUGUUAGCUGACAGCUGAGAGCUAUCAGCUAACUUAGUGGCGGACGGGUGAGUAACACGUAGGUAACCAACCCUCAAGCGGGGGACAACUCUUCGAAAGGAGAGCUAAUACCGCAUAAGCUCACGGACUGGGAUGUUUGUGAGAAAAGGAGCAAUUCACUUGAGGAUGGGCCUGCGGCCUAUCAGGUAGUUGGCGGGGUAACGGCCCACCAAGCCAAAGACGGGUAGCCGGACUGAGAGGUUGAACGGCCACACUGGAACUGAGACACGGUCCAGACUCCUACGGGAGGCAGCAGUGGGGAAUUUUGCGCAAUGGGGGAAACCCUGACGCAGCGACGCCGCGUGGAGGAUGAAGGUCUUCGGAUUGUAAACUCCUUUUGUCGGGGAAGAUAAUGACGGUACCCGAUGAAUAAGCCACGGCUAACUCUGUGCCAGCAGCCGCGGUAAGACAGAGGUGGCAAGCGUUGUUCGGAAUUACUGGGCUUAAAGGGCGCGUAGGCGGUGGAGUAAGUCUGAGGUGGAAGAUUAGGGCUUAACCCUAAAACUGCCUUGGAAACUGCAUCACUUGAGUAAGCGAGGGGAUGGC